GGAUGGCGUAAGCCCUGAGAGGUGUGAAAGGUCACUGGCUUGAGCUCUUCCCUGCCCCGAGCACACGGACGUGGCAGCGGGCAGCGGGCAGAUGGUGCACAGUCUCACAUCCUCGGGCAUCCGGCGGCGCGGGGACCCCUGUGGUCUCUGCACUGCGGGCACCUGCAAGCAGAGCUCUGCAGACAAAACUGAAGCCCCCCAUCAUCACAGGCCGGGCUCCUGCCCCAGCCCCUGCGCUGCCCUCGGAACCAGCCUGCACGCCCGCCCCACGGAGAGGCAGAGCUCUGCAGCUCCACAGCCCACGUUGUGCUGGCCAAAGUCACCACUGAGAUGCCGGGGACUCAGGGGGCACAGGUGACCCCGAGCUCUGGCUCUGCAGCCCCGCCCACUGCAGGUCUCCGUGAGAGUAAUACCUGUGUGUAUUGUAUAUAUUUUCUAAAUUUUCUGUGUAUUAUGUUUUGACAUCUUAGAAAAGCUUUCUGGCUGGGGAGAGCCUGCCCCUCCAGGGGCUGGCCAAUUCUGAUACAGCGAGGGCUCAGAGCAUGCCUUUCAUACGCAAACUAGCCAGCAUACCUCCUCUCUCUGGCCCUAAACUCCCCGGGCGAUAUUCCCCUGCCCUGACCAUCACAGCGCCAGGUCCUGGGUGACUAGGGACCACCCCCACCCACAGCCAAACCUGCUGAGAUGAUUCCAACUGGCCAGUCCUAAAGCAUACACCUCCCUGCCCUUCCUUUUUCACGGAAGCCCCACUCCUGCCCAGGCACUCCCCUUGCUCUUGUCUGCUGCCUCCUGACCGCCCUGGCACCCCCCACCAUGGCCCAGAGUGCACUAAACUUCCUCCUCAUCCCCUCCUGUGGCCACAUGACUUGACCGUGCCACAUGGGCACGACAUUCUCAAAACACCAAGGCAGGCCCGGGGAGGUAUUUUUAGGUGGGGGCUGGGGCUGGGGAGUGGCUGGAAGGAAAAGCAGGGCAGGCUGCAGCAUCCUCACUCACUUCCCCCCAUCCCUGGGCUUUGCACUUCCCCCCCCUCAGGGCAGACAGGUGAGGACACACGGGCACCAAAAUAAGCAAAGUGAUGCCACAGCGGAGGUGGCAGCUCUGGAGCUGCUGGCCUUGCUGCCCUUCUGGCUGUCCACUGACCCCCUCCUCCAAGCGCUGUAUGAGUCUCCUGUGGCCACCAGAAUGACGUCCCACAGACUGGGCACCUUUAACAGUGGACAUUCCUUCCCUCUCAGCUCUAGAGGCUGGAAGUCCUAGAUGAGGGUGUCAGGGCCUCACCCCCUCUGAAGUCUGCAGGGAGGAUCGCCCU
rnacentral:lncRNA from 1 species